UAUCGUGUAUGUUUGAAAUGCAAGAUAUUUCAAUUAUUGAAACGUUAUUUAUUAAUUGCUUUUAUAUUUAGUGCGAAAUCAGUUGUAGAAAUUAGUUAAACAGUCAGCUGCAAAAGUAUUUAAUAUGAAACCGGCAAAUAAGUAUAGUAUAGGCCGUCUUCAAUGCAAAGUCUGUUUAUGUGUUGUGAUAAGUGAUUUAUCAUGCAAUAUUGAAAUUUCUAACGCACCAGUCAGAAAUAUAACCUCAAUUCAGUGAUAUAUGAAUAAAGAGAAAGAAAAUUACAGUGCUGAUAACCCUUACG